AGCUCGGCCAUAAGGCCCGCAAUAGGACCACCUAUAGGUAUGCCUUUCUUCUGAAUAUAAUACUGGCCUCUAAACGUAAAGUAAGAUGUGUAAGUGAUGGUAUGGCAGAUAUCCCUUAUAAGGGUAGCACGAGUCGUAGCAUCCGGGAGAUGUUGGAAGAUAAAUCUAUACAGAGCAAUAUUCGCUGGGGCAUGCUCAAUCAAAGGGUAUAGAGAAUCGAAAUCAAGGAUGGCGUAUUUCUCAUCUGGGAAGGGGCCAUAUUCAAGGAGUUUGUCCAAAAACGCUAGAGGUGAGUCUACAGUAUAUUCAUAACCCUUUAGGUACGGGGCCGCCCAUCUAGCAAUGGCCUUUUCCAGGUU
rnacentral:lncRNA from 1 species